rnacentral:tRNA from 1 species
GGGAGUGUAGCUCAGUGGUAGAGCACUUGCCUAGAGCAUGAGGCCCUGGGUUCAAUUCCCAGUACUAUCA